AAGGAUUUAAGUUAAAAAAAACUGUAGCCUUCAAAGCUACCCAUAAAGACCACCCACUUUAAGCCUUA
rnacentral:tRNA from 1 species